UAGGGAAUCUUUGGCAAUGGACGAAAGUCUGACCGCGCAACGCCGCGUGAGUGAAGAAGGUUUUUGGAUCGUAAAACUCUGUUGUUAGUGAAGAACAAGGACGUUAGUAACUGAACGUCUCCUGACGGUAUCUAACCAGAAAGCCACGGCUAACUACUUGCCAGCAGCCGCGGUAAUACGUAGGUGGCAAGCGUUGUCCGGAUUUUUUGGGCGUAAAGCGAGCGCAGGCGGUUUCUUAAGUCUGAUGUGAAAGCCCCCGGCUCAACCGGGGAGGGUCAUUGGAAACUGGGAGAAUUGAGUGCAGAAGAGGAGAGUGGAAUUCCAUGUGUAGCGGUGAAGUGCGUAGAUAUAUGGAGGAACACCAGUGGCGAAGGCGGCUCUCUGGUCUGUAACUGACGCUGAGGCUCGAAAGCGUGGGGAGCAAACAGG
rnacentral:rRNA from 1 species